UACGGGGGGAGCAAGCGUUGUUCGGAUUUACUGGGCGUAAAGGGCGCGUAGGCGGCCACCGCAAGUCGACUGUGAAAUCUCCGGGCUUAACCCGGAAAGGUCAGCCGAUACUGCGGGGCUAGAGUGCAGAAGGGGCAACUGGAAUUCUCGGGUGUAGCGGUGAAAUGCGUAGAUAUCGAGAGGAACACCUGCGGCGAAGGCGGGUUGCUGGGCCGACACUGACGCUGAUGCGCGAAAGCCAGGGGAGCGAACGGG
rnacentral:rRNA from 1 species